CCGAGCGAUCGGCAGCGGAACCCGAAAACCUGUCUCAGUUCGGAUCGGAGUCUGCAACCCGACUCCGUGAAGCUGGAUUCGCUAGUAAUCGCGCAUCAGCCAUGGCGCGGUGAAUACGUUCCCGGGCCUUGUACACACCGCCCGUCAAGCCAUGAAAGCCGGGGCGCCUGAAGUCCGUGACCGCGAGGGUCGGCCUAGGGUGAAACCGGUGAUUGGGGCUAAGUCGUAACAAGGUAAC
rnacentral:rRNA from 1 species